rnacentral:rRNA from 1 species
UACGUAGGGGGCGAGCGUUAUCCGGAUUUAUUGGGCGUAAAGCGCACGCAGGCGGUCUGUCAAGUUCGAGGUGACAGUCGCCAGCUUCACUGGUGGAGUACCUUGAAAACUGGCAAACUUGAGGGCCAGAGAGGGACACGGAAUUCCGGGUGGAGUGGUGAAAUGCGUAGAUAUCCAGAGGAACACCAAAGGCGAAGGCCGUGUCCUGGCUGGUACCUGACGCUCAGGGGCGAAAGCUAGGGGAG